rnacentral:tRNA from 5 species
GCAGCCAUAGCUCAGUUGGUUAGAGCGCCUGGUUGUGGACCAGGAGGUCCUUAGUUCAAAUCUAAGUGGCUGUACCA